GCGGCGCGAGAGGAAUCUGUUAACUGAAAUGCUUAGGCAAAAACCAUAACAAUAAAUAGAGUGUAAAUAGGACUCAGAGCAGGGAGAGGACUGAGAGCUAAAGCAGCUGCUUCGGGAAUCUGAGGGACUCUGCUCCUCUGCCCAAACCAAGAAGAUCAAUCAGCUUUUAUCAGAGACUCUCAUCCAAAAUUUCAGCCAAAGAAUUAUGGGCCGAGUCGGCUGCAACGGCGAAAACAGCGUCUGGAGAGGAAGAGAGAGGCUCUGCACUCCCUCAGGACUAGGGCAUAGAAGUGGGUCCUUCAUACAUGCCUGCUAUAUAAUGGACAAAUCCUCUUUAAUGUUUUUGUCAUAAAGCAGCAACUGGGAAAAGAUG